AGAGUUUGAUCCUGGCUCAGGAUGAACGCUGGCGGCGUGCCUAAUACAUGCAAGUCGAGCGAACAGAUAAGGAGCUUGCUCCUUUGAAGUUAGCGGCGGACGGGUGAGUAACACGUGGGUAACCUACCUAUAAGACUGGGAUAACUUCGGGAAACCGGAGCUAAUACCGGAUAACAUUUAGAACCGCAUGGUUCUAAAGUGAAAGAUGGUUUUGCUAUCACUUAUAGAUGGACCCGCGCCGUAUUAGCUAGUUGGUAAGGUAACGGCUUACCAAGGCGACGAUACGUAGCCGACCUGAGAGGGUGAUCGGCCACACUGGAACUGAGACACGGUCCAGACUCCUACGGGAGGCAGCAGUAGGGAAUCUUCCGCAAUGGGCGAAAGCCUGACGGAGCAACGCCGCGUGAGUGAUGAAGGGUUUCGGCUCGUAAAACUCUGCUAUUAGGGAAGAACAAAUGUGUAAGUAACUGUGCACAUCUUGACGGUACCUAAUCAGAAAGCCACGGCUAACUACGUG
rnacentral:rRNA from 1 species